AUUUCUUUCUUUGGAAUUCUUCAGACAUUGGAGCGGAUGGGUCAUGUGGAUGAAGUUGUCAAUGAUCCAGACUACAAGUUCGAGUUCCCUACUCCUGAUGAUAGACCAAGCCUGCCCAUAAUAAGUUUCAGCGAUGCAUCUUUUGGUUAUCCUGGGGGGCCUCUCUUGUUUAAGAAUUUGAAUUUUGGUAUAAACCUUGAUAGCCACAU